ACAGUGUCAAGAUUGAGCUGCUGAACUACCGGCAGCUCUCGCGAGCCUCCGGCGUCCUGCUGCACAUGGUGCUGCGCUGCGUGCGAGAGAGCGUGCUCUUAUACUGUCACCUCCUGAGGAACAAGGAGCCCGUCUCAUUUGUGUUCAAGAACCUUGGAGUUAUGACAUGCCAAGACAACUUCCUCUGCAUGAGGUUCUUCUGCAGCUGCAUUGCAAAGCUGGAGACCAAUGCUACCAUCCUUGCACUGUUCCACACUAGAUUUUGGAUGGAAGAUUCUGCUGACUUCGGGCCAGAGACCACCACACAUGGGAUCUGGGUGUUCCCGAGGUUUCAGCUCACUGAGAAAAAGAGCAGAGCAGAGGCGGCCGCAGAACAGAAAGCUGCAGUAGAGCGGAAGAUGAGUAGAGGGGGCUCUGCUGGCAGGCUGCUGCAGACGUGGAAGACUCUUUCCCCCUCCAUGCUGCUACAGCACGAGCCAGGCUCAAGGCAGCAAAAUGUGGCGAAGGAGCCUUCUGCCAGCGCGCUCCCGCUGUGUGCAGGCAGCUUCCACAGGACAAAGAAAGCAGGACAGAAGGAAGCAUCUACUCCUGCCCAGACCAGCACUGCACUUCCUGCCUCAGAGGAGUCUAAGAGGGUGCUGCAGCUCCUCUUCGGUAUAUGGAGGGUGCUGCACACCGUCCCUGUCUCUUCUCACCUCCUGGCCUGCCACCUGCCACAGCACACACGGCUGUGAGAGGGGAAUAUGGCCUCUGAGCCACGUUUGCCACAAGUUGCGGAUCCCGGCCUGGCCUUGGGGCCCCUGGUCCUUCAGGGCAAAGCAGUGCCAACAGGCCAGCAGAGGUGAGGAGCAGGAGCAUAGAGUUGAAGGAAGGCCCCAGGGGCUGAGGCUGAUCCUGUAUGCUGCUGUGUCUCUGCAGGAGCUCCGGGAAGUGUCUGCGUGGAAUGAAGCAGACUGCACGCGCCUUGUGUACCAGCAGCAAGUAGAGCAAGCACGGGCAGAAAUGGCAGCAUGGGAAGGCUGGAGUGCAGGGGAGGACCAGCAUCCGCCCCAGUUACUGUCAGGGAUCGACCCUGCUGUUAACCAUCCUCUGAGCCAGGGUGCAAGCUCAGCAGUGAACGGGUUGGGAGCGGGACGGGCGCCGCGCAGCAUGGCAAAGGCUGGCCUGCCUCCCUGGGAGGAGAGCUUGGCACAGCCCCGCAGGGAGAAGGGAAAGGCAGUGGGCAGCCGGGGGCUGGCAGGGCCGAGUCUCCUGCUUGCCAGGGCCUGCUGCAGGGCCCUUGACAGAGGGCCUCUGGGAAACAGCCCCAUGCACCCAGCUGCUUUGCUGACAGCAUCUCCUCUUUGGCAGCUGCUGGCCAGGGAGAGCAUGCAUGCUCCGCAUCCUUCAGCACAGCCCCGGGGACAGCAAGUGGGGAGGAGGUGGAGAAAGAAUGUGGAUCCUCUGCCGGGAAGUAAAAUGGGAACAGCGACCAAGCUGGCACUGCAUGCUGACCUCCUUUCCCUGCAAGCGGCUCAGGUGCUCCAGAAAUUGGAGCCGCGCCUCCAUCAGCAAGAGGCUUUUGCCAGCACAGCGGAAAGAAACCGGCAGAAGCUGGAGCUGAAGCGGCAGCUCCCCUGUGCUCGAUGCUCACACCACUCCGGGGGGAAAGUGCAGGCAAUGGUGGUGACCGCGGUGGAGCUCUCAGCAAGGGGCUGGGAAGCUGUCCAGAUUUCCACCUGUGAAUGGAAGAUCAUAGAAUCAAAGACUCGUAGAAUGGCCUGGGUUGAAAAGGACCUUGAAGAUCAUCUAGAUUCAACCCCCCUGCUAUGUGCGGCGGCGUCAACCAGCAGACUGGGCUGCCCAGAGCCACAUCCAUGCCUCCAGGAAUGGGGCAUUCACCACUUCUCGGCAAGCUGUUCCAGCAUGUCACCGCUCUCCUUGUUAAGAACUCUUACUAACGUCUAA
rnacentral:lncRNA from 1 species